GGGAUCUCAUUGGUUUCCAAGUUCUCAAACAGGAGGGGUAGGGUGACCCAGGGACUCCCCCCUAUAUUUCAUUUAAUUAGUUAUAUUGACCCAUACAUGAAUAUAUAUUGUUUUGGUGUGGGGAUCUCGACCGUUUCCAAGUUCUCAAACAGGAGGGUUGGGAUGACCACAGGGACUUCCCCUAUAUUUCAUUUGAUUUGUUAUAUUGUCCCAUACAUGAGUAUAUAUGGUUUCGGGGUAAGGAUCUUGGCCAUUUCCAAGUUCUCAAACAGGAGGGUGAACAGUGACCUAUGGGACUCCCCCUAUCUUUCAUUUGAAUUGUUAUGUAGUCCCA
rnacentral:lncRNA from 1 species